GAAUGCUGACAUAAGUAACGAUAAAGCGGGUGAAAAGCCCGCUCGCCGGAAGACCAAGGGUUCCUGUCCAACGUUAAUCGGGGCAGGGUGAGUCGACCCCUAAGGCGAGGCCGAAAGGCGUAGUCGAUGGGAAACGGGUUAAUAUUCCCGUACUUGGUGUUACUGCGAAGGGGGGACGGAGAAGGCUAUGUUGGCCGGGCGACGGUUGUCCCGGUUUAAGCGUGUAGGUGUGUGUUCCAGGUAAAUCCGGUUCACUUUAACACUGAGGCGUGAUGACGAGGCACUACGGUGCUGAAGCAACAAAUGCCCUGCUUCCAGGAAAAGCCUCUAAGCAUCAGGUAACACGAAAUCGUACCCCAAACCGACACAGGUGGUCAGGUAGAGAAUACCAAGGCGCUUGAGAGAACUCGGGUGAAGGAACUAGGCAAAAUGGUGCCGUAACUUCGGGAGAAGGCACGCUGACACGUAGGUGAAGUGAUUUACUCAUGGAGCUGAAGUCAGUCGAAGAUACCAGCUGGCUGCAACUGUUUAUUAAAAACACAGCACUGUGCAAACACGAAAGUGGACGUAUACGGUGUGACGCCUGCCCGGUGCCGGAAGGUUAAUUGAUGGGGUCAGCGCAAGCGAAGCUCCUGAUCGAAGCCCCGGUAAACGGCGGCCGUAACUAUAACGGUCCUAAGGUAGCGAAAUUCCUUGUCGGGUAAGUUCCGACCUGCACGAAUGGCGUAAUGAUGGCCAGGCUGUCUCCACCCGAGACUCAGUGAAAUUGAACUCGCUGUGAAGAUGCAGUGUACCCGCGGCAAGACGGAAAGACCCCGUGAACCUUUACUAUAGCUUGACACUGAACAUUGAGCCUUGAUGUGUAGGAUAGGUGGGAGGCUUUGAAGUGUGGACGCCAGUCUGCAUGGAGCCGACCUUGAAAUACCACCCUUUAAUGUUU
rnacentral:rRNA from 1 species